AUUGAACGCUGGCGGCAGGCCUAACACAUGCAAGUCGAGCGGAUGAAGGGAGCUUGCUCCUGGAUUCAGCGGCGGACGGGUGAGUAAUGCCUAGGAAUCUGCCUGGUAGUGGGGGAUAACGUCCGGAAACGGGCGCUAAUACCGCAUACGUCCUGAGGGAGAAAGUGGGGGAUCUUCGGACCUCACGCUAUCAGAUGAGCCUAGGUCGGAUUAGCUAGUUGGUGGGGUAAAGGCCUACCAAGGCGACGAUCCGUAACUGAUCUGAGAGGAUGAUCAGUCACACUGGAACUGAGACACGGUCCAGACUCCUACGGGAGGCAGCAGUGGGGAAUAUUGGACAAUGGGCGAAAGCCUGGUCCAGCCAUGCCGCGUGUGUGAAGAAGGUCUUCGGAUUGUAAAGCACUUUAAGUUGGGAGGAAGGGCAGUAAGUUAAUACCUUGCUGUUUUGACGUUACCAACAGAAUAAGCACCGGCUAACUUCGUG
rnacentral:rRNA from 1 species